GACUAAUCCUUGUUCCCUUGCAGCAGGAGGAUGUUACUGACAAAGUGAUGGCCCAGCUCUAUUCCAUCAGGUGCUUGUGCCAGGUGCCCAAGGUGCUACAGGGGCUGUGCCCUGUGGGACACCCAUAAAGGCCCCCCCCCCACCCUCCUCCGCCUGUCCAGCAGUUCAGACUCCCAGCUGCAGGAAGACUCCUGAGGUGAGGAUUCGUGGGGCUUAAUCCUAGGUCUGCAAGACUCCAGGUGUGCAGUGCAUGGGGGGUACCAAGUCAUCUAGGCAACAAGGCAGAUCCCUGCCCUUCUGCUGAGCCAGUCCCCACCUUGAUCCUGGUUCCAGCUUCUGCGCACUGCCCUGUCCUGCCCUCCAGUUCCUGGCUAUUGACGUGGCUUGACCCUCGUCUCCGGUGUCUGGCUGCUGACCCUGACAUGACCUUUGGCUCUAGAUCUUGACUCUGACCACCUGGCUUCGACCUCUGGCCUGCACCUGGACUCUGGCUAUGAUUCUGAUUCUGGUUUGUCUGUGGACUCUGAUCUCGGUUUUGACCCCGGAUCUCGAUUCCCUCAUCACCCUUUGCCCAGGCCCAGCCUUAUGCCUAACUGUGACCUAUGCUCCAACCACUAGACCUAAUUAUCAGCGGCAGCACCUGACACCAGGUGGUGCAAAUUUUUGCAGAAAGGCAGGCCUUCCGCACGUAAGUGGCCUGUGCACAAAAGGGGACACAUUACACCAGGUGUGAACAAUGGCCUUGCUAUCUGAGCCUGGCCCUGUGGUGCCCCUACUGCAGUGUUUUGAUGAGGAUGACUGAAAGUUCAGGGGUUUCCUAGUUAGCCUCCGCUGCUGGACCUACUCCAUUAUUCUUGGGUCUGACACCCCACAUUCCUGAUAAAUACUAGGAUUAUCACAGAAGAUUAAGGUUGGAGGAGACCUCAGGAGGUUAUCUAGUCCAACCCCCUGCUCAAAUAUGAAUAUUUUCAAAAGAAAUGUGGACAUAUUGCUUCUGCGUCGAGACUAUGAAUGCUCUAUUGAUCACCAAUCUUGGCCGAAAGUUGCCUUUGGCCGUAUUUACCCAAUGUCCAAACCAGAACUGGUGGCUCUCCCUGCAUAUAGUCAAGAAAAACAGGUUUAUUUGCUACUCAGCAUGUCCCAUAGGGGCCCCAGAUCUCUUUGGAAAGGAGAAAGGCGGGAAUCUGAACUUCUGUGUGGACUACCAGGCCCUGAACAAAGUGACAGCUUGAAAUCCCUGCUUUUAAUCCCAGAAUAAUUGGAUCACAUGAAAUCUGAUGGAUAUUCAUCAAACUAGACCUCCAGGGAAUCUAAUACUCAUUUGGGCGGGGGACAGAUUUGAGCAGAAAGACAGAUUUCCAAACACAUUCCAGACAUUAAAAUAUCUGGUAAUGCCAUUUGGACUGACUAAUGGCUCUGUGACCUUGCAACACUUCAUCAGUGAUGUAUUUGGAGACAUUCUGGAUCAAUACAUUGUCAUCUGUUUAGAUGACAUACUUCUCCUAUUGGAGAACCCAGAGCAGCAUGCGCACCAACCACAUCAAAACCUGGAGAGGUUGUGGCAGCAUGGUCUAUAUGCAAAAUUGAAAAAGAAUGCCUUCGGACAACUCUCCACAUAGUUUUUGGGGUACAUCCUCUCCCCAGAAGGCGUUAAGAUGGAUCCAAAUAAAAUGGAAGCCAUUCACAACUGGGAGGUAGCUCGGAGUGCUCAAGAAGUGAAGCACUUCCUCGUCUUCGCCAGUUUCUAUCACUGCUUCAGUCCAGGGUUCACAGAGCGAAUAACCUGCAUGAUAGCUCUCCUCCACAAAAUCGCCAAAUUUGUUUGGUUACCCCAGACCCAAGAAGCCCUCAAACUGCUUAAAAUGCCUUCACUGCUGCACUUAUUCUGGCAUGAUCCAACUGGAGCAUUCAUCAUGGAAGUUGACACAUCUAAUACGGUCAUCGGGACUGUGUUUUUUCAAGCAUGGCCCCAAGCACCUGCGGUACCUCCAUGCAUAACACUCAUGGAGGCUUACCCCCCUCCCCCAGACCAAAACUAUGAAAUCCGUGAUAAUCAGUUGCUUCUGAUUAAAUCCUCAUUUAAAGAUUGGUGUCAGCUGAAGGGGGCUUGAUACCCAGCAGAAGUUUUUACUGAUCAUAAACAUCCAGUAUCUGCAUAAGGCCAAAGCACUGAAUUCGGGACAAUUCAGCUAGACCUUAUUCUUCUCCUGCUUCAAUUUCAAGAUUACUUAACUUAUUGACCGGGAACCAAGAAUGGACAGGCCGACACCCUGUCCCAUAAUAGAGAAUAUAACCAAGAAGGAGAGAAAGCUAGCUCCCUAAGCCCUGCAACGUGCUUAAUACUGUCAUACUUCAAGGGCUAAUCAUGCUAAUUUGAUCAGCCUCGCAAGAUGACUCAUUGGACAAGGAAUGGGGGACCCCUCGGAGCAAUGGAGCCAAGAAUGAGAAACAACAUUCCAUGUAGGACACAAUAACAUUAACUGAGGGCCGUAUAUGUGUUCUGACAGAAUGUCCCCAUUUAAAGGUACUACAUCUGAAUAAGGAGAACUCCCCUGCAGGGCACUUUGGAUGCCUCAAUACCUACUGCCUAACCGCCUGCUUCGUUUGGUGCUGCUGGACGUGGGCUGAAAUUCAGACUUAUGUUGAGUCACGUGACUUUUGCGCUUGCACCAAGGCACCACACACCAGACUUCUUGGCACCCUUAUGUCUCUGGAGACCCAUUGCCAUGGAUUUCAUUGUAGAACUCCCUGAAUCAGAUGGCCAUAUGGUAAAACUGACUUUCAUAGAUCAACUGAGCAAGAUGGCAUAUUUCAUCCCCAGUCACCACAUAUGUUGGUCUGAGAGGACAGAUCAGCUCCUAGAAACAAAUGUCAUCUCCCUGCAUAGGCUUCCUAACCACAUCACUUCUCAUAAAGGGCCCCACUUCAUUUCUUGUUUCUGGUGCUAAACUAUCUGGCUACUAAACAUCCACACCGAUGCCUCCUGGUCAUACUACCCACAGAUGAAUGGCAAGAUGGCAAGCAAUAUUGCUCCAGUACUGGAGCAAUAUUUAUGUUGUUUUUCUCAAUUACAACCAAGAGAGCUGCUUCCCCACCCUCCUACGCUACUCAGAAUUUGCAAACCACAAACCCAAUGGUACUUUUUUUUUUUGCUAUCUAUAGAUUUCCCCCCAAUUUCAUCCCACACUACCAACGGACUCUCCGAAUUCAGCAACUAGCCACCUUGUUCAAUGAAUCCACCACAUUCAAAAAGAACUAGGGGGGCACCUCAAGGACACAGGGAAGGACUACUAAUAGUAUGCAAACUGCCAAUGACAGGAGGGGCCAGUCUUUUCAGUAUGGAAACUAUUUGCUGAAGGGAGAUAUAGAGUCCUUGCAACUUACUGUAUCCCUAAGCCAUGUCCGUGGCAGCAGUUCCUGCCCUGUUCCUUGACCUUCUGAUCCCAUCCUCCUCCCCUGGCCGAAGGAGCAAACUCUGGGUCCCUUCCCUCCCCCUGGCACAAUCCACCCCCAGAUUGUCUUAGUCGCUUGCUGACAAUGGGAUUGUCCUCUCCUCACCCCUUGGGAGGGAGAAAACUAUUAUCCUCAUUUUCCUGGCUCUAUCAGCUGCUGCUGCAGAAGAGGGGUAACAAACCCAGCUGGGGAAUGUGACCUACCGAAACGAGCCCCUCUGAGACUAGCUCCAGCGAGCCAUUGGGACCCCAGUAUAACCAAGGGCUCCCCUUUCAGACCACCGCAGAUAAGCAGUGUGACCCUGAUAGAACCAAGGGUCUGCUCUGAGACUGACUUCAGCUGGGCUAUGGGACCCCUAUAGCAGUGGUUCCCCACCUUUCCUCUCCACACCUCGAGUGCCUGAGGCUCCUCUCCACCCCUGGCUGGCAGCUGCAGGAGGGAAGGGGAGAGGCAGAGGAGCCGACCCAUUGCUCACAUUGUGGGCAGGAGGGAAGAGAAGGAGAUUGACCCCAGCUGGUCAAUGGGACCUCUAUGGAAAAGUGGCCCUCCUUUGAGACUCACUCUGCAGGGCUAUAAGACUCUAUAGAAAGAAGACUCCUCCUCUGAGACAGACCACAGCUUAGAUAAUUCUUCUUUCUCUUCCCCACUCCCUGAAUUAGGAAGAGAUGAGUGUGGAAGUGCCAAGGAAAUUGGCUCUUUUAUCUGACAGCCCAGCUCUGUCCCCCACCCCAGGGAAAUCAGCCCAUCCAUGGGGCUGCCAGCUGGUGAGGAGGCAGGAAUGGAGCUAUUGAGACACACGGAGGAAAAAAGCCCACAGUGAGGGCAGAGGCAGGAGCGGGGACCACAGAGGAAGGACACAAAGCUUUGCAGGAUGUCACCAGCUGGGUACCUAGGACGAGAUCCUGACUUCAGUGGGAGGGGGGGGUUCUUAGGAUGAGACGCCGUCAUUAACAGGGACCCACUCCCGGAGCACAAAGACCAUAACAGUCACAUGAUUUCUCUGAUGAAUGGAACAAUCCCCCUCCAGAUACUAAAUUGCCUGGUGGUGAUCCUGUGAUUCCACUGGGACAUGGAUACCACGAGGGCCCCAGCCAGUGUGCACCCAGCAAUGGGAACAGACGGAAACAGGCCUGAACAUCAGAGAUGCCAAAGAGCUGUGGUGUUGGGCUUCAGGACACCAAGCACUUUGGCUAUAGGAAUAUGGCCAGAGUGGGGCAGCAGGAGGAUGUUGCUGACAAAGUGAUGGCCCAGCUCUAUUCCAUCAGGUGCUUGUGCCAGGUGCCCAAGGUGCUGCAGGGGCUGUGCCCCAUGGGACACCCAUAAAGGCCCCCCCCCCCCCCCCCCCGCCUGUCGAACAGCUCAGACUCCCUGCUGCAGGAAGAGAGUCCCCAGAUGAGGAUUCAUGGGACUUGAUGCCAGAUCUGCAGGACUCCAGGUUGGCAGCACCUGGGAGUACCAGAAAGUCAUCUAGGGAACAAAGCAGAUCCCUGCCCUUCUGCUGAGCCAGUCCCCACCUUCUUCCUGGUUCCUGCCUCCAUACGCCACUCUGCCCUGCCCUCCAGUUCCUGGCUAUUGACUCUGACAUGACCCUUGGCUCCAGUCUCUGGCUGCUGACCUUGGCGUGACCCUUGGCUCUAGUUGUUGGCUACGAACUCUGGCUCAAUAUUGUCCUUGUCCUCCUCUAGCCUCGCUCUAGCCCCACCACUGACCCAGUCCAGCCUUGCCUCCUCCUUCUGAUCCUCCCCAGACACUUGGACUCUUGACUACCCAGCUUCAAAUUUCUAUCUGAAUCUGGACUCUGGCUUGAUACUGACUUGGCUUAUCUUUGGACUCUGACCACCCAACUUUGACCUCUGGCUUGCACCUGGACUCUGGCUCCUGGUCUGAUUCUGGUUUGUCUAUGGACUGUGAUCUUGGUUUUGACCUUGCCCUGUCCCCGGAUCUUGAUUCCAGCACCACCCUUCACCCAGGUCUAGUCCUAUGCCUAACUGUGACCUGUGCUCCAACCACUAGACCUAAUUAUAGGAACCAGCACCUGACACCUGGUGGUGCAACUUUUUGCAGAAAACUGACCCUUUUCUAGUAUGUGGCCCAUAUGCAAGAGGGGACACAUCACACCGGGUGUGAAAAAUGGCCUUGCUAACUGAGCCUGGCCCUGUGGUGCCCCUACCAGAAUGGUUCAAUGGAAAUGACUGAAAAUGUAGGGAUUUCUUAACCAGCCUCUGCCCCUGGACCUACCCCACCCAUCAGACUCAGGGGGAAUUGGUAACUAGUUUAUUGACCAGUGAGGUGCUAGACUGGGCCUCACCUCUACUCAAACCGAAUUGUCUGGCGAUAACACACUGGAGCACGUUCCUAUGAUUGGCUGAAGCUCUCCUGCCAAAAUUCGAGCAGGCACAUAGGUCAGCCGUCUUGUAUACCAUGCAGUUCUGAUGGCUUGCAGCCAAUGCUGAGUGGAACCAGGUGGCCCAGUUUUAUCAUUUCCACUGUGCACUCAGUGAAGUGUUCAAGGAGGAGUUAGCCUGGCUAAAAGCUCUCAUGGGCCUAGAAAGUUUCAUUGAUCUAACCAUCCACAUUGAGAUCUACCAUUGUGAGUGCAGGGAGGAAAAGAGAGGAGGGUGUUACACAGCUGCCUCACCCAGGUUGAGCUUGAGCUCAUCCCUGAAACCUAUGCAGGUCAAUGUGGGCCACCGAUGCUUGACCCCCAAGGAAAGGGAGCUUGAGCUCAUCCCUGAAACCUAUGCAGGUCAAUGUGGGCCACCGACGCUUGACCCCCAAGGAAAGGGAGCUUGAGCUCAUCCCUGAAACCUAUGCAGGUCAAUGUGGGCCACCGACGCUUGACCCCCAAGGAAAGGGAGCGAAGUCAGCGCAAUAACUUGUUCUUCUACUGUGGCAGGCCAGGGCACGCACUCACUUCCUGCCUCUCACGGACCCCAGCCAGAAAAGUAUCGGGGAAAAAAACAAGCCCAAAUUUUCAUGGAAACCCAGCUGGGCCCACUAGGGUCCUUACCACAUCUCCAAGUUCCAGUUCAGUUGUGCAUCUCCAGAGAAACAUGACAGGUGGCACUGCAUUAGGCACUUAUUGAUUCUGGGUCUGCAGACAAUAUCAUAAAUUUCGAGACAGCCCAAGGUCUACAUAUCUUGUCCGGCAGAAGUGACAUCAGAUGUUGUGGAAAUCAUUGACAAGAUCCUCUUGUCCUCAGGACUGGUGACUCAGAUGAUGGUGCCCCUGAAAGCGGUAACCCAGGCUCUGGGAUCUGUCCGUGCCUCCUACAUCAAUGGAGCCUGCAGCUGGCCCAGAUUGGGGAGCCAUGACCUCAUCCUGUCAAGCGAGAACAACUGCUUCUCAAUGAUGCUUAGAUGGCAAAUCGCACCCCCCUCAUGGAGGAAAAGCAUCUCCAAAGGAGGUGUAAUGAUCCUGGACUCUAUUGCCUGCACGAAGCUUCAGACUGGAGCUCCAGCAGAUUCCCCUGAAGAACACCACCCUGUCUUUCUGUGGUCAGGCUACGGCUCUCCCUCUGUCAUGGAGGUGAAGACCGGAUGGGAGCUGAUGGAUUGACUCUGAUAUGUCAUGUUCUUGUGUGGAUGAGGGACCUACAUCGCAGAGAUGGCCAGUAGCAGAUGUACCACACGUGGCCAGAAAUGGGCUACACAACUUAUAAUGACAGUCCUGUGCUUGGACCACACUCCAGUGCAACAGUCCAUAAAUUAGCCUCCCACCUGAACAACAACCAGCCAGCACUUCCGCAUCCAGGCCUGGAGCAGAAAACUGAGGAUCUUGCAGGAGCUUUCUCAGAGUCCUGAUGGCAGAGACCAGCCUGCUGCUCCUGUGAUCUGGGCCACGGUGUUCUGUACUGAGGAACCGGUCCUUUCUCUUCAGGCUGCAGGGAUCUGAAAUUGUUUGCAGCCCCUGCUGUUGCUGUGCCCUGGUGAAGGUUUAUUUGUCUGGGGCUGAAUUUGUGAUACCAGGGCUAGAUACUGCUAACUUUAUUUACUGCUGUGACAGCUGUCAGUGGCAGUUCUGUGUGAGUGAGGUUUGCAGGAAUGCACCUCAUCUGAACGGGUGAUCUCUUACCGACACAGAACUUUGUGGGCUGGACUGUACCCUCUGUGUGCAAUUCCACUGGCCAGUAGAGAUGCACAAGUAGUUAGCUUUGGAGAGAAGGUUUGUCUAAACCUAAUACCUUUGAGAGGCUUGGGUGGAAGCUGCUAGAGAUGAGGAGACACUAAUUCAUGACCCCUCCCAGGCCUUCCAAGAUUGGUCACUAUUAUCCCCAUUAUCUGGGUAUCAGAGGGAAAGUGACUGGCUGUUAAGUCACACACAGCAUCACCAACAGAAGCAGAAGCCAAUGCCAGAAGCAAUCCAGCUCCACCCACUAGACCACGCACCCUUCCAGAGCCACAGAACCCAGGAGUCCUGACUCAGACCUGUGCCUUACAUCACUUGGCCAAACUUCCUCCUGUUAAGGGAGCUGGAGAAGGGACCGUCGGCAGUGACUCCCUCCCCUACAUUCCCACUGUUGGAGACCAUUGCAAUGGGUGACAAGUGAAUGAGCAGAGAGCUCCCCUGUGGGAAUCCUAGGGAUGCACAGUUGGGUUUCACGGGGAAGGCCUCUGGCAGCCAUUGACAGAGUGUUCCAUUGAGGAGAUUUUCUUUCUCUAACAAAGGGUUUCUGUUCCCCCAGAUCAUCGGCCACUUAGCAGAAUGCGAAAGAGUUGUGUGGUGAUGGGCUAGAGGAGUGACCAAGUGGCUGUGCAGCAGGUGCAGUGCCUGCAGUCACCAUGGGCCAAACCCUACAAUCCAGGCUAAGUCCCCCCUGAUUUGGCUUGGGGAAUCGGUUGCUGGUACCUAGACAGAGACUGAGAUGUUUUCAUGAGGCAACUCAGUGGUACAUGCAGCUCCAUCCAGACAAGUGGAGAAUGUAAGUUCAAGAACGAAGCUGGGACCUCUGUGGAGCUGCUGCGGUCAAGUGUCCACAGCGAGAAGAGAGAUGAUGGGAAACUUGCUAAGAUGGCUGGCAGCAGCGCUGAGAAAAAGCAGUCUGGCAGCUAGUUCAUUGGAAAUAAAUAGGAACUAAAUAUUAAGGGGGUUUUCCUGCCCAGUGAAGUGUUUAAAAUGUGUCUCUUUACUAUUGCUCUAACCUUUACAAUAUCCUCAUAUAAUUUAAGGCAGGGGGCAGGGGAUGUCUAAAUGUAAUAGGUCACUUUUAGGAGCAUGAAGUAUCCGGUUCAAUCUCGAAGCACCUAAUUCUACAACUUGAGCUGAACUCAACAAAUGCCUCAGGUGGUAGCAGUAGUAAGCUCCCAUCCUCUGUGCACUAGCUGCCAGGGAGGCAUUCAGUACAUAGGGUCAUAGAGCGGCAUGAGGUUCCCCUUGCAAGAGCUGCCUGUUGACACUGCCCUUGUCGGGGAGCACCUCAGGGUACUAUGGACUGGGCAUGAGCAACAUGCCUCCAAACCUGCACAGCCUGAGGAUCCAGAGAGCUCUGUUCCUGAUCCCAAAGCUUCCUCAGAGCAACUGAGGAGCCAGACUGUACCUGGACACUCUCCCUGCCCUAGCAGCAAAGAAGCUGUUUGCACAGAUGUCAAGUGCCAUCUCCCGUGACACUCACAUGUGGGCCACUGAUGCAUUCGUAGGGUCAAGGCUGAAGGCCACACACUCCUCUGGGCUGUGGGAAGCAGGAGGACUCAUGCAGCAAUAAAUCUUUCUGUGCACCUGCCGAGCAAGCAACCUUUCUGCUCCUCUUGCUGGUUUCUAGCCCUCAGGAAGCACCAAGGGGUAAGGAGGCAGUGAUAUAUUUGCCCCAAAGGUGGGUCUGGGGGAAGAAGCAGAGCUAAAAGGCAUCAGACAGCCAUGCUAUAGCAUUCUCCUUAGAUUCAUUCCAACAACCACGUGGCUCCUUCCUGCCACAGGUCACACCAUUUAGGUUCCCAUUGUUUAGGGUUACCAUAU